GGCUGUGGGGUCUAGUGGUAUGAUUCUCGCUUAGGGUGCGAGAGGUCCCGAGUUCAAUUCUCGGCAUAGCCC
rnacentral:tRNA from 1 species